rnacentral:misc_RNA from 1 species
GUCGCCGAAUAUGUCAAAUGUGAAAGUGAUCCCCAUCAUCUUCGUUUAUUCAGAGAUGAUGAGAGUUGGACAUUAUUACAAGAAGAGGUGUUUCAAGGGGAGAGCUGUCCAACUGAACUUGUAGAUGUGGGAUUUCGAAUAGCAAAAAGUUGUGGAGGAUUGCCACUUUCCAUUGUAUUAGUUGGUGGUGUUCUAAAAGAGAAAGAGAAGAAAGAAGAUUUGUGGAAAGAAGUAGAAGAAAGUUUAGGUUCCAAAAAUAUUGGUAGCUUGCAAAAGAGUAUGUCUUUAAUUGGAUUCAGUUAUAAG